UACGUAGGGUGCGAGCGUUAAUCGGAAUUACUGGGCGUAAAGCGUGCGCAGGCGGUUCGUUGCGUCUGAUGUGAAAGCCCCGGGCUCAACCUGGGAAUGGCAUUGGAAACUGGCGAGCUAGAGUGUGGCAGAGGGGGGUGGAAUUCCGCGUGUAGCAGUGAAAUGCGUAGAGAUGCGGAGGAACACCAGUGGCGAAGGCGGCUACCUGGACCAGCACUGACACUGAGGCACGAAAGCGUGGGGAGCAAACAGG
rnacentral:rRNA from 1 species